rnacentral:rRNA from 1 species
AUUGAACGCUGGCGGCAUGCUUCACACAUGCAAGUCGAACGGUAACAGGGUGCUUGCACCGCUGACGAGUGGCGAACGGGUGAGUAAUGCGUCGGAACGUGCCGAGUAGUGGGGGAUAACGCAGCGAAAGUUGUGCUAAUACCGCAUACGUACUGAGGUAGAAAGUGGGGGACCUUCGGGCCUCACGCUAUUCGGGCGGCCGACGUCGGAUUAGCUAGUAGGUGAGGUAAAGGCUCACCUAGGCGACGAUCAGUAGCGGGUCUGAGAGGAUGAUCCGCCACACUGGGACUGAGACACGGCCCAGACUCCUACGGGAGGCAGCAGUGGGGAAUUUUGGACAAUGGGCGAAAGCCUGAUCCAGCCAUGCCGCGUGUCUGAAGAAGGCCUUCGGGUUGUAAAGGACUCUUGUCAGGGAGGAAAUCCCUAGUGCUAAUAACACUGGGGGAUGACAGUACCUGAAGAAUAAGCACCGGCUAACUACGUGCCAGCCGCCGCCGUAA